UACGAAGGGGGCUAGCGUUGCUCGGAAUCACUGGGCGUAAAGGGUGCGUAGGCGGGUCUUUAAGUCAGAGGUGAAAUCCUGGAGCUCAACUCCAGAACUGCCUUUGAUACUGAGGGUCUUGAGUAUGACAGAGGUGAGUGGAACUGCGAGUGUAGAGGUGAAAUUCGUAGAUAUUCGCAAGAACACCAGUGGCGAAGGCGGCUCACUGGCCCGAUACUGACGCUGAGGUGCGAAAGCGUGGGGAGCAAACAGG
rnacentral:rRNA from 1 species